CCAGUCCUCUCCCUGGGAUCCGACCUCUGAAGCCCGAGCCUCAACUCCCAGCUCCCACCCACCCUGGCAGGUGAGCAGACAACCCUCUCAGGCUGGUAAGAUCAUGUUACAACAUGACAACAACAAAAGUCCGUAGCAUUUCUGCUCACUGAACUCUGCUAAAUGAUGAACUGUGAAGGGAUCCUUGAAGAAUUGGUGACAAUUUGCAUAGGUGACAGAAGAGGAAAGAAAGAACCUUGGAGGUGGCAAUGAGGAUAUGUUUACAGUACAUCUGAGGAAUAAGAUGGCCUCCUGUGCUCAGGAGCAUCUGUUCAUUGCAGUCAUUCACACUCGGUCUGGGGAGCAGGGGUUGUCAAGUUUCUGGUCCCACAUGUAAGGUUCUUGGAAGUUGCCACUCCAUCCUAACAACGAGUAAAAAGCUGAACAGUCUGAGAAACCAACUACUCUUGUGGAUCCAUAAGAGAGGGGAGGACAAAGGCCAAACGUCUGCCCCUGGGGUUGGAGAGAUAGACAGACCAACACAAGGAGUCAUGGCUUCCCAUAGCAGAGACUCACGAGUGGAAACUGCCAGGGGAACCAGUGCCAAGGAGUUCUCAGAAGGCUGAAGAUGAGACAGAGCCUCUUUGUGAAACAUCCACAGUUCCUGCGGAGGUGCUCUGGAAUUUCUCUGAAGUCCUGGCCCAACCCCCUUCCAUCACCCCUAGCAUCUUAUAGAAUUGAAAAUCAGAACAAAGGGAUGAGAAGAGACAAACAACACAGGACCUGACACGUGUGUGAAGAAUGACAGGAAAGAAAAAAUAUUUAAAGGAAAAGGUGAAAAUUAUUCUUGAGAACACAUCCAUCUGAACACUGCCUGUAAGACUGUGACCUCUUCCAGCAUAAGGACCACUCAACUAUUUCUACUUCCUGAACCUGAUGUAUUUUCUGUCGCACAGUCAAAAAUUUGUUGAAAAGGUAAGUGAUGGAA